rnacentral:rRNA from 1 species
AAACUUCAGCUAAUACCGUAUGUCGCCCGUUCGGGGAAAGAUUUAUCGCCAUUGGAGCCGGCCCGCGUUGGAUUAGGUAGUUGGUGAGGUAAAGGCUCACCAAGCCUACGAUCCAUAGCUGGUCUGAGAGGAUGACCAGCCACACUGGGACUGAGACACGGCCCAGACUCCUACGGGAGGCAGCAGUAGGGAAUCUUGCGCAAUGGGCGAAAGCCUGACGCAGCCAUGCCGCGUGAAUGAUGAAGGUCUUAGGAUUGUAAAAUUCUUUCACCGGGGACGAUAAUGACGGUACCCGGAGAAGAAGCCCCGGCUAACUUCGUG